UGAACGCUGGCGGCAGGCCUAACACAUGCAAGUCGAGCGAGAAAGCACUUCGGUGCGAGUACAGCGGCGGACGGGUGAGUAACGCGUAGGAAUCUACCUGGUAGUGGGGGACAACAUGGUGAAAACCAUGCUAAUACCGCAUACGCCCUAUGGGGGAAAGCGGGGGAUCUUCGGACCUCGCGCUAUUGGAUGAGCCUGCGUAAGAUUAGCUAGUUGGUGGGGUAAAAGCUCACCAAGGCGACGAUCUUUAGCUGGUCUGAGAGGAUGAUCAGCCACACUGGAACUGAGACACGGUCCAGACUCCUACGGGAGGCAGCAGUGGGGAAUAUUGCGCAAUGGGCGAAAGCCUGACGCAGCCAUGCCGCGUGUGUGAAGAAGGCCUUAGGGUUGUAAAGCACUUUCAAUUGGGAAGAAAGGUUGUACGUUAAUAGCGUGCAGCUGUGACAUUACCUUUAGAAGAAGCACCGGCUAACUCC
rnacentral:rRNA from 1 species